rnacentral:rRNA from 1 species
AUUCCUCGCGCUUUUACCUCAAUCCACGCUUUCUAAAUGUGUGCUGGUCGUCACAACGUCAGACCGCCCCGCGCUGGAAAGGAUGAAAGCCGCAUUUACGGCGACGACUAUUGCAGAGUACUUCCGCGAUCAAGGUAAAAAUGUAUUAUUAAUGAUGGAUUCUGUAACUCGUUAUGCCCGAGCCGCGCGUGAUGUUGGGCUUGCAUCGGGAGAGCCUGAUGUAAGGGGGGGAUUCCCUCCGAGUGUUUUUUCUUCGUUACCCAAAUUAUUAGAGCGAGCGGGGCCUGCGCCAAAAGGUUCAAUAACCGCGAUUUAUACGGUGUUGUUAGAAAGCGAUAAUGUUAAUGAUCCUAUUGGCGAUGAAGUCCGCUCUAUUCUUGAUGGGCACAUCGUACUUACCCGAGAACUUGCAGAGGAAAACCAUUUCCCUGCAAUUGAUAUUGGUUUAAGUGCCAGUCGUGUUAUGCAUAACGUUGUUACAUCGGAGCAUUUGCGUGCGGCGGCAGAAUGCAAAAAGCUUAUUGCAACUUAGAGUAGAAUUCUACUCUACGCCGGCAACGGUGAAACUCAAAGGAAUUGACGGGGGCCCGCACAAGCGGAGGAACAUGUGGUUUAAUUCGAUGAUACGCGAGGAACCUUACCCGGGCUUGAACUGCCAGCGAACGAUUCAGAGAUGAUGAGGUCCUUCGGGACGCUGGUGGAGGUGCUGCAUGGUUGUCGUCAGCUCGUGCCGUGAGGUGUCGGCUUAAGUGCCAUAACGAGCGCAACCCUUUUCUUUAGUUGCCAUCAGGUAAUGCUGGGCACUCUGGAGAUACUGCCACCGUAAGGUGUGAGGAAGGUGGGGAUGACGUCAAAUCAGCACGGCCCUUACGUCCGGGGCUACACACGUGUUACAAUGGGGGGUACAGAGAGUCGGAUAUACGCAAGUAUGUUCUAAUCCUUAAAGCCUUCCUCAGUUCGGAUUGGGGUCUGCAACCCGACCCCAUGAAGCUGGAUUCGCUAGUAAUCGCGCAUCAGCCAUGGCGCGGUGAAUACGUUCCCGGGCCUUGUACACACCGCCCGUCAAGCCAUGAAAGCCGGGGGCGCUUGAAGUCCGUGACCGCAAGGAUCGGCCUAGAGCGAAACUGGUAAUUGGGGCUAAGUCGUAACAAGGUAGCCGUACCGGAAGGUGCGGCUG